AAAAAGGUAUAAGUAUUAGGUAGUAUUAGUUGUCUUGAAACUUAAAAAAUUUGGCGGUGUUUUAAGCUUAUCAGAGGAACUUGUUUUAUAAUCGACAAUACCCGAUAGAUCUUACUUAAAUUGGUAGCUUGUAUAUCGUUGUGGUAAUAAUAUUUCAUAAUUAUUAUUAAAGGUAAUUUUAUUUUUGAUAUCAGAUCAAGGUUCAGUUUAUGUUUAAGUAAAAAAUGAGUUACAAUAUAAACAUAUAUUACGAAUUUUAUUAUUAAAAGGUAAAUGAAGGAGGAUUUGAAAGUAUUUUCAUAAUAAUGUGUUGAAUUGAAUUAGCUCUAAAACAUGU
rnacentral:rRNA from 1 species